AUAAACGUUGGCGGCGUGCCUAACGCAUGCAAGUCGCACGAGGCGCAAGCCUAGUGGCGGACGGGUGAGUAACACGUAGGGACCUGCCCAGAAGUGGGGGACAACUCUCCGAAAGGAGAGCUAAUACCGCAUACGGUCUACGGACCAAAGCCGCAAGGCGCUUCUGGAGGGACCUGCGGUGGAUUAGCUAGUUGGUGGGGUAACGGCCUACCAAGGCGACGAUCCAUAGCUGGUCUGAGAGGAUGAUCAGCCACACUGGGACUGAGACACGGCCCAGACUCCUACGGGAGGCAGCAGCGAGGAAUUUUGCACAAUCGACGCAAGUCGGAUGCAGCAACGCCGCGUGGGGGAAGAAGGCUUUCGAGUUGUAAACCCCUUUUGUGAGGGAAGAAGAUCUGACGGUACCUCACGAAUAAGUCACGGCUAACUACGU
rnacentral:rRNA from 1 species